GGAUUAGUUUUUUUUUCUUUUUUCUCUUUUUUUUUCUUCUCUUUUUUUUUCUUCUCUUUUUUAUUGCGUAUUUUUUUUGAAAAAUAAAUAUGCUAUGAUGCAAAUGAUGCAGACUCGACUGGUUGGCUGUGUCUCUCAGAACACAGGAUCAAAACUUCGGCUUGAACUCGGAACCACAAAUUCAUCUGAAACCCAAAGUCAUCUGAGAUCCCAAAAAUUCUGAACCAAUAGUCACCAACAGGAUCACGAGUCACCAACAAGUCACCAACAAGUCACCAACUGUACCUGUAAUAAUGAUCAUCCCCUCCCCACUCACAGGUGUCAUCUAGGCCAGGGUAAGGUCGAGAGAAACGCAGCAUAAAUAACCUUUCGCAGAACAUCAUCAUAUACACACCCGAAGUAUGUAACGAUAAUGUCCCACCAGGGUCUGAACUGCUCGUGAUAUCAAUGUUCCGCUAAGUGGCGCAAUACCACCCGCUUCCCAUGAAUCACUCUAUUCCUAAGUAUCCUAGAUUUCACUCAUAGCCUGGGUAUUGGGCCUUUUACCUCAUGUAACUCCCACCCCAACAGAGAGAAACAGACAACCAGCCAGAUGAAUA
rnacentral:lncRNA from 1 species